CACUCACACACCUACGGACACACGCUACUCUGGGAGGUGAUUUGCGACUUAGCCAGGCCCCCAAAGCUGGGCUCCUGUAGGGAGAAAGUCUGCCCAGGUCCACAUCCAAGCCUUCAUCGUUUGUCCUCCGGGUUCUGGGAUCCUGCUGGAAGAGGGGAGCUUCUGCAAUGGGAGUUGCCACAACCCUGCAGCCCCCAACCACUUCCAAAACCUUGCAGAAGCAGCAUCUAGAAGCAGUGGGCGCCUACCAAUAUGUGCUCACUUUCCUCUUCAUGGGUGGAAGGCGUUCGGAGUGGAUAAGGAACCGGGCAAUUUGGAGACAACUAAGGGAUUAUUAUCCUGUCAAGGUGAUGGGUCACCCUGCAGAAAAACUGCUUCCUACCUCUCCCCAUCUCCCUCCCACACCUAGGAGCCCUUCCUUGUGCUGGGGCCUGAGCUCCCCGCUGCCUAAGCUCAGGCAGUGGGACAGGGAAUGGAUUUUUUUUUUUUUUU
rnacentral:lncRNA from 1 species